rnacentral:rRNA from 1 species
UACGAAGGGGGCUAGCGUUGUUCGGAAUCACUGGGCGUAAAGCGCACGUAGGCGGAUCUUUAAGUCAGGGGUGAAAUCCCGAGGCUCAACCUCGGAACUGCCUUGAUACUGGGGAUCUCGAGUCCGGGAGAGGUGAGUGGAACUGCGAGUGUAGAGGUGAAAUUCGUAGAUAUUCGGAAGAACACCAGUGGCGAAGGCGACUCACUGGCCCGUUACUGACGCUGAGGCGCGAAAGCGUGGGAGCAAACAGG